CUGUAACCGCCCGCCGCUGUUUUGGCACACCGGCCAGGGCCACGACCGUGGGAGCGCCGUCGUCUCCGCUGUGGGAGCCACGCCGAAGCGCCGAAGGGCGCCGCUGCCUCCGGGGCCGGAGGGCCAGCCGAGGGCCGUUGCCUCGGGCGCCGCCUGCACGGAUGCAAGCCGAGGGCUGCGGCGUCGCCUCAGUCUUCCGCGCCGCGUCGCGGUUGGGUGCUGCCUUCGCGGGCGCCGAGGCUGUCGUCUGCGGCGUGCGUAGUGGGAGAGCGUCUCGCCAUGCGCGGGUGCGCUGGGCGUCGCCGCGGUCACGCUUUAGGCGGCCUCGCGCCAAGGCCGCGCCGCCACAUCAUGGCUGGUGCGCCGGAGGGCGGUGCCGUUUCGUUGAGGUUCGCGCAGCGCCUCCGCGUUGAGAGGUCAAGGCCACGCAGUCGUGCCCCGCGUUAGAGGCCGGCGGACACCUCGACGCAUCGCUGGACAGCCGUGUGUGUGCAAGGUGCAUGGACGCGGGCGCCGCUGGUGAUGCUGAUGAAAAGCAACGGCAGUUGUCGCUUGAUCCAGUGCAGUGCAGGAAGAAUUGAGGAACGCACGGACAGAGCCGCCGCUCCAAGCGCUGGCCGUUGGUCGCUCCUGUGGACGCGCUGCCGGGAGCCCGCGGUCGCGCGUGGGUGCCGCCUUCCGCCGGGAACACCGCGUUGCCGCGGAGUAGCCGUCGAGGUGUGAAAUCGCUCCGCCAGAGAGCGUGCUGAUAACGUGCUUAGAAUAGAGAUCGAGACAGACAACAAAUUAUUUAAGUAUCCUUUAUUCAUCAUGGAUGUACACUUAUAUAUAAGGGGAACGGACGCGUCCAUGGGACGUGACGGUUCGC
rnacentral:rRNA from 1 species